rnacentral:rRNA from 1 species
CCUACGGGUGGCAGCAGUGGGGAAUAUUGGGCAAUGGACGCAAGCCUGACCCAGCAACGCCGCGUGAAGGAAGAAGGCUCUCUGGUUGUAAACUUCUUUUCUGAGGGACGAAGAAGGUGACGGUACCUCAGGAAUAAGCCACGGCUAACUACGUGCCAGCAGCCGCGGUAAUACGUAGGUCGCAAGCGUUAUCCGGAUUUAUUGGGUGUAAAGGGUGUGUAGGCGGGAAGGCAAGUCAGAGGUGAAAACUCAGGGCUCAACCCCGGGCUUGCAUUUGAAACUGUUUUUCUUGAGUGCUGGAGAGGUAAUCGGAAUGUCGGGUGUAGCGGUGAAAUGCGUAGAUAUACGGAGGAACACCAGUGGCGAAGGCGGAUUGCUGGACAGUAACUGACGCUGAGGCGCGAAAGCGUGGGGAGCAAACAGGAUUAGAUACCCCAGUAGUC